GUUCUGAUGUGAAUCAAUGAUUAACGUAAAAUGUAUGGGAAUUACACAACAGUGGGAAUGGAAUAUUUCUAGUCUGGCAAUGAACCACAAAUAUUGAUGUAGAGGUCAGUUUAUUCAUUUAUUUUUUCUCAAUCUGAGCUGUCUCACAAGAUUGUUGCUGUGAGGACACAGAGAGUCCUAUAUGUUGCCUUUAACUUAUUUGAGAUGGAAUAUACAGUGUUUCCUCACUACUUCGCGGUUUGCUUUUUACUCCCUUGUUGUUUCACGGUUUUUUAAUAAACACUAAAAUAAUAGUAUAAAUCAUAAAAUAAUAUUAGAAAUCCCACUUUCUACUUCCUUCCUAAGGAGAAGCCGAAGGAAGGGAGGGAGGGAGGGAGGGAGGGGGGAAGGGGAAGCCGAAGGGAGAGAAAAGGAGGCUGAAGCAUCUUUGUUUUCGCCUCACUAGGCAUGCACGUGAUUGAGAGGGGAGGAGGGGACAGUGAGAUUGUAAACAACACAAAUAAAGCAGAUUUUCACUUUUCGUGGGUGGUCCUGGAAUGUAGAAAAGGCAGGAUAGCUCCUCACAAUCACAUUGAUGGUUUUUAAGGAUGUGCAAAACUCCAGAGUUGUAAGUGAUUUCAUAAAUAUGUACUUAUGACCUGCAUUAUGAAGCCAAUGCAGUGCAGCCCCCUCCCCAAUGAAUUAAAACAGCCAUCAAUGUAAGAAGUUUGUUAUUCUUCAUCAGUCACAGUGAGUCAGCUUCUUCAGCACAAGCAAACUACACUGAACAGCACAGGCAAAUUUGGUAUGUCACACACACUCCUCAGUCUAUAAUAAUUAUUAAUAAUAAAUCUUUAUUUGUACCCCGCCACUAUCCUGGGGCAGCUCACAGAAGCACUCCAGUGCCAUAUAAACAACAAUACACAAGAACAAAUACAAUACCAUAAGUAUAAACAACAUAUAAAAUCCCGCUAAUAAAUUUGUAAGAGUAUAAAUUUAUAAAAAUUCUUGAAAUGCAGUAGAACCUGCAAAUGAGCCGGCUGUCUGCCAUAACAAUCAAAGUGCGGAACAGUACAAUCAGUAGUUCUUCAAACUGACCAUAGAUUACACAGGAUCAAAGGCCUGACGGAAGAGCCAUGUUUCUAAACCCAUCCAAGAGGCUUGAAGAGUGGGGACUAAUCUAAUUUCUUUAGGCAGGGUAUUCCAGAGCCAGGGAGCCACCACCGAGAAGGCCCUCUCUCUCAUCCCCACCAAUCGUACUUGAGACAGUGGUGGGACCAAGAGAAGGGCCUCCCCAGCAGAUCUCAAUGCCCCUGCCAGUUCAUAGAAGAAGAUGCGAUCUUGAAGAUAGGUUGGACCCAAAGUGGAUAGAGCUUUUUAGGUAAUCAUCUGCACUGUGAAUUGGGCCUGGAAACUUGGAAGCCAGUGGAGCUGCCUUAAAAGGGGCGUAAUAUGCUCCCGAAAGCUUGCCCCAGUUAAUAAUCUGGCUGCUGACCUUUGCACUAAUUGCAGUCUCCCAAUCAUCUUCAAAGGCAAUCCUAUGUAGAGUGCAUUACAGUAGUCCAUUCUGGAUGUAACUAAGGUGUGGUCCACCAUGGCCAAGUCAGGCUUUUAGAGAUAUGGCCGC
ensembl:lncRNA